rnacentral:rRNA from 1 species
AUUGAACGCUGGCGGCAGGCUUAACACAUGCAAGUCGAACGAGUGGCGGAGGGGUGAGUAAAAUCUGGGAAACAGCCCCAUGGGGGGGGAUAUAACCAGUAGACGGUAGAGCAUACCGCAUACCAUCGGAUGUGUCCAGAUGGGAUGAGCGAGUAGGUGGGGUAACGGCUCACCUAGGGGACGAUCCCUAGCUGGUCUGAGAGGAUGACCAGCCACACUGGAACUGAGACACGGUCCAGACUCCUACGGGAGGCAGCAGUGGGGAAUAUUGCACAAUGGGCGCAAGCCUGAUGCAGCCAUGCCGCGUGUAUGAAGAAGGCCUUCGGGUUGUAAAGGACUUUCAGCGAGGAGGCGUUACUCGCAGAAGAAGCACCGGCUAACGCCGUGCCAGCAGCCGCGGUAAUUC